CCUACGGGAGGCAGCAGUGGGGAAUAUUGGACAAUGGGGGCAACCCUGAUCCAGCCAUGCCGCGUGUGUGAAGAAGGCCCGCGGGUUGUAAAGCACUUUCAGUGAGGAAGAACGCCUGGUGGUUAAUACCCAUCAGGAAAGACAUCACUCACAGAAGAAGCACCGGCUAACUCCGUGCCAGCAGCCGCGGUAAUACGGAGGGUGCGAGCGUUAAUCGGAAUUACUGGGCGUAAAGCGCGCGUAGGUGGCUUGAUAAGCCGGUUGUGAAAGCCCCGGGCUCAACCUGGGAACGGCAUCCGGAACUGUCAAGCUAGAGUGCAGGAGAGGAAGGUAGAAUUCCCGGUGUAGCGGUUAAAUGCGUAGAGAUCGGGAGGAAUACCAGUGUCGAAGGCGGCCUUCUGGACUGACACUGACACUGAGGUGCGAAAGCGUGGGUAGCAAACAGGAUUAGAUACCCCUGUAGUC
rnacentral:rRNA from 1 species